AAACUGGGAUUAGAUACCCCACUAUGCCUAACUGUGAAUUACUAGCCAAAAAAGUAUGAGCCCGCCACUUGAAACUUAAAGGACCUGGCGGUACUCUAUAUCAACCUAGAGGGGUCUGUCCUAUAACCGAUAAUCCACGAAGAACCUUACCAUCUCUUGCCACCAGCCUAUAUACCGCCGUCUUCAGCACAUUUCACAAAAAAUGAAGCCAAAUAGUUUCACGCACUAGCACGUCAGGUCAAGGUGUAGCUUAUGGGGUGGAAGCGACGGACCACAAUACCACAACCCACAGAAACCACGCUGAAACGUGAGGAAAAAGACGAAUUUAGCAGUAAGCGGAGCUGAGUGCCCCCCUGAACAGCCCCGCCCUAGAGUACGCACACACCGCCCGUCACCCU
rnacentral:rRNA from 1 species